rnacentral:rRNA from 1 species
AGUGAACGCUGGCGGUAGGCCUAACACAUGCAAGUCGAACGGCAGCACAGUAAGAGCUUGCUCUUACGGGUGGCGAGUGGCGGACGGGUGAGGAAUACAUCGGAAUCUACUUUUUCGUGGGGGAUAACGUAGGGAAACUUAAGCUAAUACCGCAUACGACCUACGGGUGAAAGCAGGGGAACUUCGGACCUUGCGCGAUUGAAUGAGCCGAUUUCGGAUUAGCUAGUGGGGCGGGUAAAUGCCCACCCAGGCGACGGUCGGUGGCUGGUGUGGGAGGAUGGUCAGCGACACUGGAACUGGGCCGCGGACAAUACUACUACGGGAGGCAGCAGUGGGGAAUAUUAGGCAAUGGGGGCAAGCCUGGUCCAGCGAUACCGAGUGGGUGAAGAAGACCUUCGGUUUGUAAAGCCCUUUUGUUGGGAAAGAAAAGCAGCAGCUUAAUACCCCGCUGUUCUGACGGUACCCAAAGAAUAAGCACCGGCUAACUUCGUG